ACAGAGAGGAGCAAGAGGGGAUUAAACCCUAGUUUAUCAAAAUCCACAAGAAUCAAGUGAAAUUUUAAGAAAAUCGAAAGCAUAAACAACGAAUUCUAAGCUCCUACAUCUGUUCUUCGAAGUGACAUAAAGGAAGAGGGCUCAAGUACUAAGAAGUCGGAAGGCUUACAGGAUCGAGGGUAAAUCCCCGGCUUAGGCGAUUGGACGGCUUGGAACGUGCACACUUGAUUCAUGCUCGCCUCACGCUUCCGUCAUAAGUUAUUUCGAUAUGGGUUAAAUUUUGGGUCGGAUGUAUUAAAACUUAUGUAGUAUGUCGAUGUCCGUGUCGUUGGGUCGAACUUAGUAUAUGUAGUUUUGUUACAUACAAUGUAAACUUUGUCCAUUUUUUGGAUUUUAUCAAGAAUGUUAGUUGUCGAA